UCAAGUAAAGUGUUUCAGUAAUAACAAAAGCGUUAGUUCCUCAUCAAAUUUUAAAUCAAAAAAAGUGUUAAAGAUGUCAAUUUCGAGCCAACGGGACUGGUGGCAAUCUUUUGAUUUGAGGCAAAAAAUGCUUCAACAGUUUUGGGAAAACCUAGAUGUUGUGAAGAAAAUUCUGAGUAACAAGGAAGAGGGAAAGACCUUUUUCAUUCGUUUCCCCUUCGAAAAGCUUUUGAAUGUUACUAUCAUGGAUGAAAACAGCCUAAUGUGGUGCAUUAAAAUUAUUGAUUUGUUCAGCGAAUAUGACGAUUUUUAUGACAGUGACGAUGGGCUUCAUUACACCAUGGAAUUUAUUUUGAUUAAUUUGUCCCAAAUCGUAGAGGAUCGCAAAGAAGUCGUUGCGCUGUUCCACCUCUUAUCCAAAAUAUUGCAAAAAAACAUCGUAUAUAUAGAUGGCACCUUUAAAAAUAUAUUUGAUAGAGAAAGGAUACUGGAAAUUAUGUUAAGAAUGGGCGACUUUAGGACUUUACAGAAAUGCAAUUUCCUACCCUAUGCUUCAAUUUUGAACAAUAUAUUAGAUUCCGAUUUUCCGGAAGCAUUAAAUGGCAUUAUUUCGGAAUUAUUUGAUAAACUUAAACAGCACGGAGCCAUUUUUGAGUUAACGGUUAUUACUAAAUACAUACUUCAAAG